GACGAACGCUGGCGGCGUGCUUAACACAUGCAAGUCGAACGAUGAAGCCUUCGGGUGGAUUAGUGGCGAACGGGUGAGUAACACGUGGGUGAUCUGCCCUGCACUUUGGGAUAAGCCUGGGAAACUGGGUCUAAUACCGAAUAUGAUCAUGCUCUUCAUGGGGUGUGGUGGAAAGCUUUUGCGGUGUGGGAUGGGCCCGCGGCCUAUCAGCUUGUUGGUGGGGUAAUGGCCUACCAAGGCGACGACGGGUAGCCGGCCUGAGAGGGUGACCGGCCACACUGGGACUGAGAUACGGCCCAGACUCCUACGGGAGGCAGCAGUGGGGAAUAUUGCACAAUGGGCGCAAGCCUGAUGCAGCGACGCCGCGUGAGGGAUGACGGCCUUCGGGUUGUAAACCUCUUUCAGCAGGGACGAAGCGCAAGUGACGGUACCUGCAGAAGAAGCACCGGCUAACUCUGUGCCAGCCGCCGCCGUAAAAC
rnacentral:rRNA from 1 species